GAUCACAGAACAUUACAGAGCUGAAAUUCCUACUGAAUGGUAGAAAAAACAUGAUAUUCCAAGUAACAUGGGGCUCUACUUGCGAAAUCUAGAAUGAAAUAAUACUAUACUCCGAAGAACGAACCCCCUGAUAAUGAACACGAAAUCACAGGUUAAUGCUAAAGAUAAAUAGACAAUUAAAAACGAGAGCGGCCUGAUCAACAACAGCAGUUAGCAGAGUUUGAGGACCAUAUUCUACAUCAGGGUCGAGCUCUCUUGUUGGUGCAAGAAGGACACUUGUAAUGCUUGAUAUGCUCAGCCCUAGCAGGGGUAAUCUUCACACACUUGCCAUGGAACCACUUCUCACAAAUGUCACAGCAGAUCCAAAAUUCAUCUGAUGCAUAGUUUUCUCCACAGGAGCCACAGAGUGUUUCCCCAUGUUCUUCAUCUUCUUCCUCAUCAAACACUUCUUCUUCUUCAUCCUUCGGCUGUGACUUUGGAUAUUUUUCCGGAGAUUCCAAUCCCUGCUGCUUGUCAUAAAAUAAUGCCAAGUGACUAUAUCAACAAGAAGAAGGGGAGGGGGGACGGAUGUUUAUAACAUACGUAUAUAAAGCAUGUUUAGCUAAGCCUUUCCUAUAACUUUUUGACAAAAGGGCAAUUAUCCUGGCCAGCUUCUCAUUAAAAUCCACUUACAUUUUACGAUUAGAUAUACCAAGGUCUGUUAUAUAAAAGGUGAAAAACACCAUUUCCUGGGGACUGAUGUAUUGCACAUGAAACACACUUACCGGCUUAGAGUUUGACUUUGAUUUGUUGCUACUGUGGUUGGAGACCGAAGACUUCUCUUUCUGUUGUUUCUUUGCAGCACCAGUCACAACUUCAAAUACUGUAGGGAGUUCAUUGAUCAUGUUGAAAAGCCGUUUCCUGGGAAACAAAAUUUCAAAUUUGAUUCAUAAUUGGAAAAUGAGAAAAAAGAACAAUGAUCUUUGACUAAAAUUCAAUUGUAAUAAGGAAGAUGCUUAAACAGUAUGUCAAAGGGCUAAAAUCAUUUGCAUCAACUGUGUAUGCUUUGAUGACUCUGUCUAAUGCCCAGAGAAAUUAUUCAUCCCCUCAACCCUUUUUCAAAACUAAAAUUAUAUAAACCUCCUGAUUUCCAUCCACACAACUAUCUUUCAUACAACACUUGGAAACAUUUUGAACUUGAGGAGCCAACGCAUAUCGCACAAACAGAAUCUAGCUGUGUUUAGAAGUUCAAACCAUGAACAUGUUUGGCUGAGCAUAAAACAAGGUACAGUUUUACGAAACAUGUUUAGAUAACUUACUUAAAUAGAAAAAAGUUACUUUUUUUUUUUUUUUUAAAAGUAGCUUUACUUUGAUCUCAAAAUAAGUAACUUGCUUAUUUACAAUUCUCAUCAAUAACAAAAAUAUUUAGUUUAAAGGUUAAUUAUGUAUAACUUUUUAAGCUAAACCAAAUAUUUUCGAAAUAAAGACAGCAUUUAAUAUAUACCUGUCAGCUUUAUCAAAACCAAAUCUAGAUCCAAAAUAAAAGGCAACAGCAAGCAACCAGGCAUCACUGUGAACAGCAACCAGAGAUAACCAAUCCUUCUCUUGCAUCCCGUCUCUAGCAAAAUUGAUCCCUAGAGCAGGCUCAGGGAGUUCUGGAGGUACUUCUUCAGCAGGCAAAUUGACCUCCCACUGCUCACUAGGAAGUCCAUACAAGCACAAAUUCUCCUUCUCUAUAAAGCACAAGCAGCACACGUACUUAAAAAUAAUAAUAGCAUGGGUGGAAAAAAAGAAAAGAUGACAGUUUGCAAAACAUAACAUAGUUUACAAGUGGAAAGGACUACGACAACAUAACUCACCAGCACUUGUGUGACAGAUAGAGGAACAAAUGAAUUUACAAUAAAAUCACCAUGCAAGUAUACUUUGGCAAAUGUGAAUACCAUAAUGCUAAACAUGGAUGUUGCAACAUCAUAACAGAUAUUAGUUGAAUGCAAAGCAAUGGGAAAAUAUCUUAUAGGGAUCUUAUAAUGUGAAUGGCACAACAAAAAAUGGAUAAUGACUAAACUGAGACUGGAUAUCAAGUUUACCAAUUUUCUAAAAUAUAAAUUUUCCAUUAGAUACUUAUUUGCUUGGAGAUGGUUUACUUUUAACCUUCAAGCCUUUGUUAAUAAUUUUUCACCAGAAGAAUACAUUGUAUUCUGCAGUGGCUUGGGAAAGAUUAAAGGGAAGAAAUACUAGAAACCUUAAAAAUGGAAAUAUAUCCAUAAAGAGAAAUCAUUAUCUUGAAUCCUUGAUAAAAAAAAAAAAAUUUUUAAAAAAAUAAAUUGCUACGAAUUAAUCUAAAAAACCUUAAAAUAAUGUUUCAGGUAGAGAAAUGCAUAUCUCAGAAACCAGACCCCAUAGAAUAUGAAUGAAGAAGACGUAACAUGGGGCUCUACUUGCGAAAUCUAGAAUGAAAUAAUACUAUACUCCGAAGAACGAACCCCCUGAUAAUGAACACGAAAUCACAGGUUAAUGCUAAAGAUAAAUAGACAAUUAAAAACGAGAGCGGCCUGAUCAACAACAGCAGUUAGCAGAGUUUGAGGACCAUAUUCUACAUCAGGGUCGAGCUCUCUUGUUGGUGCAAGAAGGACACUUGUAAUGCUUGAUAUGCUCAGCC
rnacentral:lncRNA from 1 species